AGUGAACGCUGGCGGUAGGCCUAACACAUGCAAGUCGAACGGCAGCACAGUAAGAGCUUGCUCUUACGGGUGGCGAGUGGCGGACGGGUGAGGAAUACAUCGGAAUCUACUUUUUCGUGGGGGAUAACGUGGGGAAACUUACGCUAAUACCGCAUACGUCCUACGGGUGAAAGCAGGGGAUCUUCGGACCUUGCGCGAUUGAAUGAGACGAUGUCGGAUUAGCUAGUUGGCGGGGUAAAGGCCCACCAAGGCGACGAUCCGUAGCCGGUCUGAGAGGAUGAUCAGCCACACUGGAACUGAGACACGGUCCAGACUCCUACGGGAGGCAGCAGUGGGGAAUAUUGGACAAUGGGCGCAAGCCUGAUCCAGCCAUACCGCGUGGGUGAAGAAGGCCUUCGGGUUGUAAAGCCCUUUUGUUGGGAAAGAAAAGCAGCAGGUUAAUACCCCGCUGUUCUGACGGUACCCAAAGAAUAAGCACCGGCUAACUUCGUG
rnacentral:rRNA from 1 species